GUUUGAAAUGACUGAGCAGGAAAAGCAGUCAAUCACAGAUGAGCUCAAACAAUGUAAAGACAACCUGAAGCUGCUCCGAGAGAAAGGAAAUAAUCCUUCCAUAUUACAACCCGUCCCAGCCGUAUUCAUCGGCCUAUUCCUGGCUUUCCUGUUUUGGUGUUUCGGUCCAUUGUGGUAGAGAAAGAAACCCUGGCCCUGGAUGCCCAUGUUGGCUGCCCUGGUUGCGGUGACAGCCAUCGUGCUGUAUGUGCCAGGUUUGGCCAGAGCUUCUCCAUGAGAGUGUUCCUUGAGUCUGUACACCGUCCUCCCUCUAGAAGCUGGCAUCACACUCAUGCUGGGGACAAACAGAACCAUUU